rnacentral:rRNA from 1 species
GACGAACGCUGGCGGCAUGCUUAACACAUGCAAGUCGAACGGAAAGGCCCUGCUUUUGUGGGGUGCUCGAGUGGCGAACGGGUGAGUAACACGUGAGUAACCUGCCCUUGACUUUGGGAUAACUUCAGGAAACUGGGGCUAAUACCGGAUAGGAGCUCCUGCUGCAUGGUGGGGGUUGGAAAGUUUCGGCGGUUGGGGAUGGACUCGCGGCUUAUCAGCUUGUUGGUGGGGUAGUGGCUUACCAAGGCUUUGACGGGUAGCCGGCCUGAGAGGGUGACCGGCCACAUUGGGACUGAGAUACGGCCCAGACUCCUACGGGAGGCAGCAGUGGGGAAUAUUGCACAAUGGGCGGAAGCCUGAUGCAGCAACGCCGCGUGCGGGAUGACGGCCUUCGGGUUGUAAACCGCUUUCGCCUGUGACGAAGCGUUAGUGACGGUAAUGGGUAAAGAAGCACCGGCUAACUACGUG